rnacentral:rRNA from 1 species
GAUGAACGCUGGCGGCGUGCCUAAUACAUGCAAGUCGAGCGAAUGGAUUAAGAGCUUGCUCUUAUGAAGUUAGCGGCGGACGGGUGAGUAACACGUGGGUAACCUGCCCAUAAGACUGGGAUAACUCCGGGAAACCGGGGCUAAUACCGGAUAACAUUUUGAACCGCAUGGUUCGAAAUUGAAAGGCGGCUUCGGCUGUCACUUAUGGAUGGACCCGCGUCGCAUUAGCUAGUUGGUGAGGUAACGGCUCACCAAGGCAACGAUGCGUAGCCGACCUGAAGGGGUGAUCGGCCAAACUGGGACUGGGACCCGGCCCAGACUCCUACGGGAGGCAGCAGUAGGGAAUCUUCCGCAAUGGACGAAAGUCUGACGUAGCAACGCCGCGUGAGUGAUGAAGGCUUUCGGGUCGUAAAACUCUGUUGUUAGGGAAGAACAAGUGCUAGUUGAAUAAGCUGGCACCUUGACGGUACCUAACCAGAAAGCCACGGCUAACUACGUGCCAGCCGCCGCGGUAA